AUGCAUGAGCAGGAACAAUUCUAUGAUGCUGAGGCCAACACUGGCUAUCUAGCUUGGAGACUCAAAACAGUCCAACGCACCACCUAUGACGGCUUUCGUCGGCGUUCCAGGAACGAUUUCCAGGACAGCCCAACAACCCAACGAGAGACUCUGUUAAUUGGUGGACAGCUCUUUGGUGAGGAGUGCAGAGAGGCUCUCUCAACAAUUCAACACUCAACUGAUCAAUCUGUGGUUAUAACAUCUUCCGUCUUGGAUGUUUUUCAGCGCUUUCUUGACACACCUGGAUUGAUUGAACAGGAUUUCUCAAUGAUGUUUGGGGCUGAAGUAUCUGGGGAGUUUCUUGCAAAGUGGCCUUCAUAUUUCAAUGACAAAGUCAUCGCAGAAUGCCAGAGUCUUCUCCGAAGUCUCCAUGUCGAGGAGUUGCUGGCUUUUGACACUGAGGCUGAGAAUGACUUUGAUGUCUUCAAGGCUGGGAUAGUGAUAUGUCAGCUCUUCUGUUGCUGUUGCAUCUCCUGCCUCCUACAUCAAGAGGCCAC